rnacentral:rRNA from 1 species
GUGCCAGCAGCCGCGGUAAUACGUAGGUCCCGAGCGUUAUCCGGAUUUAUUGGGCGUAAAGCGAGCGCAGGCGGUUAGAUAAGUCUGAAGUUAAAGGCUGUGGCUUAACCAUAGUACGCUUUGGAAACUGUUUAACUUGAGUGCAAGAGGGGAGAGUGGAAUUCCAUGUGUAGCGGUGAAAUGCGUAGAUAUAUGGAGGAACACCGGUGGCGAAAGCGGCUCUCUGGCUUGUAACUGACGCUGAGGCUCGAAAGCGUGGGGAGCAAACAGGAUUAGAUACCCUGGUAGUCC